rnacentral:rRNA from 1 species
GACGAACGCUGGCGGCGUGCCUAACACAUGCAAGUCAACUUGACUGAAGGAGCAAUCUGACAGUAGAGUGGCGCAAGGGUGCGUAACGCGUAAGUAACUUGCCCCAAGGUAAGGAAUAACGUCGAGAAAUCGGCGCUAAUACCUCAUAAUGCAGCGGAUCCGCAUGGAUAUGUUGUUAAAGGUUUACCGCCUUGGGAUAGGCUUGCGUCUGAUUAGCUAGUUGGUGUGGUAACGGCACACCAAGGCUACGAUCAGUAACUGGUCUGAGGGGAUGAUCAGUCACACUGGAACUGAGACACGGUCCAGACUCCUACGGGAGGCAGCAGUGAGGAAUAUUUGGGCAAUGCUCGAAAGAGUGACCCAGCAACGCCGCGUGGAGGAUGAAGGUAUUCUAUAUUGUAAACUACCUGUGAGAG